ensembl:miRNA Mir3085 microRNA 3085
GUCCCGACUCUGGGAAGGUGCCAUUCCGAGGGCCAAGAGUCUGAAUAUAAGUCACUCUGGCUGCUAUGGCCCCCUCCCAGGGCUUGGGC